AAGGUGCAUGUGUGAUGUCACUGCAAGAGGAAGUGAAGGCCCUGCCUCCUCAGCUACAAGUCAGUGCUCAUGCAGACUUGGAGUGCAGACAUGAAUCGUGCGCUUGUAUGUGUGCUGAUGGCCGCUUGGAGCCUCGGAAGCAACGGCCAGACGGUGCACCAGCCGACACCGGACGUGCAAACAGUGGAGGGUGAAACUGUGACGCUGGAAUGUAGGUACGACAGAUUGCCGACCAACGACUACAUCUUCUGGUACAAACAAGAAGCAAACGCAGCGCCCGAGUUCAUGCUGAGCCGAUUGAAGCUCGAUCAAGGCAAAACGGAGGAAAAGUACGCAAAGAGGUUUCACUGUAGAGUGAACGACAGUACCUCGCAAGCUCCUCUGCAUAUCGACAAUGUGAAGCCCAGCGACUCGGGAGUCUUCUACUGCGCCAUGCAGCCCACGCUGACACAUCCACUGACGUGCCUGUACAAAAACACCUGCACCCGCCUUUUUUCACAAGUUACAGUAAAUGGGUCACAGUGUAGCAGAGCUACAAUUCAGCGUGAUAACAUGCUAACAACUCAUGGAGCGUGAGGAUAUUUUCAUUGUGAACCAACAGGCCUUAAAAUUUACUUUGUAACUAAGAAGAUUUUGGAUUCUUCUUUCCAUUCGGCACUGUAAUGAGCUUCCUAUCUGCACCUCAGUUUAAUGUAAUCUAAUAGUAGUACAGUAAUAUAAAUUCCUUCACAUCUAAUACCUCAAUUUCCUCUCCUUAUUUCUUACUCAUCACUGGAGCAAGAAGAUACAAGCAAUACCAGAAGAUUUGAGACAGGUGCUACAAACCUCAGAAGUCAAUGAGUGGACCAAUGAAAGCUGACACUGCACUGACAUCAGUAUUGGGCAAGCUAGUUGGCA